AAAUUGAAGAGUUUGAUCAUGGCUCAGAUUGAACGCUGGCGGCAGGCCUAACACAUGCAAGUCGAGCGGAAACGAGUUAUCUGAACCUUCGGGGGACGAUAACGGCGUCGAGCGGCGGACGGGUGAGUAAUGCCUAGGAAAUUGCCCUGAUGUGGGGGAUAACCAUUGGAAACGAUGGCUAAUACCGCAUAAUGCCUACGGGCCAAAGAGGGGGACCUUCGGGCCUCUCGCGUCAGGAUAUGCCUAGGUGGGAUUAGCUAGUUGGUGAGGUAAUGGCUCACCAAGGCGACGAUCCCUAGCUGGUCUGAGAGGAUGAUCAGCCACACUGGAACUGAGACACGGUCCAGACUCCUACGGGAGGCAGCAGUGGGGAAUAUUGCACAAUGGGCGCAAGCCUGAUGCAGCCAUGCCGCGUGUGUGAAGAAGGCCUUCGGGUUGUAAAGCACUUUCAGUCGUGAGGAAGGUAGUGUAGUUAAUAGCUGCAUUAUUUGACGUUAGCGACAGAAGAAGCACCGGCUAACUCCGUGCCAGCAGCCGCGGUAAUACGGAGGGUGCGAGCGUUAAUCGGAAUUACUGGGCGUAAAGCGCAUGCAGGUGGUUUGUUAAGUCAGAUGUGAAAGCCCGGGGCUCAACCUCGGAAUAGCAUUUGAAACUGGCAGACUAGAGUACUGUAGAGGGGGGUAGAAUUUCAGGUGUAGCGGUGAAAUGCGUAGAGAUCUGAAGGAAUACCGGUGGCGAAGGCGGCCCCCUGGACAGAUACUGACACUCAGAUGCGAAAGCGUGGGGAGCAAACAGGAUUAGAUACCCUGGUAGUCCACGCCGUAAACGAUGUCUACUUGGAGGUUGUGGCCUUGAGCCGUGGCUUUCGGAGCUAACGCGUUAAGUAGACCGCCUGGGGAGUACGGUCGCAAGAUUAAAACUCAAAUGAAUUGACGGGGGCCCGCACAAGCGGUGGAGCAUGUGGUUUAAUUCGAUGCAACGCGAAGAACCUUACCUACUCUUGACAUCCAGAGAACUUUCCAGAGAUGGAUUGGUGCCUUCGGGAACUCUGAGACAGGUGCUGCAUGGCUGUCGUCAGCUCGUGUUGUGAAAUGUUGGGUUAAGUCCCGCAACGAGCGCAACCCUUAUCCUUGUUUGCCAGCGAGUAAUGUCGGGAACUCCAGGGAGACUGCCGGUGAUAAACCGGAGGAAGGUGGGGACGACGUCAAGUCAUCAUGGCCCUUACGAGUAGGGCUACACACGUGCUACAAUGGCGCAUACAGAGGGCAGCAAGCUAGCGAUAGUGAGCGAAUCCCAAAAAGUGCGUCGUAGUCCGGAUUGGAGUCUGCAACUCGACUCCAUGAAGUCGGAAUCGCUAGUAAUCGUGGAUCAGAAUGCCACGGUGAAUACGUUCCCGGGCCUUGUACACACCGCCCGUCACACCAUGGGAGUGGGCUGCAAAAGAAGUAGGUAGUUUAACCUUCGGGAGGACGCUUACCACUUUGUGGUUCAUGACUGGGGUGAAGUCGUAACAAGGUAGCGCUAGGGGAACCUGGCGCUGGAUCACCUCCUUAAACGAUGAU
rnacentral:rRNA from 1 species